rnacentral:snRNA from 1 species
GAUCAAGUGUAGUAUCUGUUCUUAUCAGUUUAAUAUCUGAUACGUCCUCGAUGGAGGACUUAUAUUAAACGGAUUUUUGGGCGCGGGAGUUGGGUGCGGGGCUCGCUCCCCCCGCUCCGCGCAUCGCCCCGGCCCUGCAGUGCCGCCGGGCGCGGUGCCGCCCCU